rnacentral:rRNA from 1 species
CACGUAGGGUGCGAGCGUUGUCCGGAAUUAUUGGGCGUAAAGAGCUCGUAGGCGGUGUGUCGCGUCGGCCGUGAAAACCUGUGGCUUAACUAUGGGCUUGCGGUCGAUACGGGCAUCACUGGAGUUCGGCAGGGGAGACUGGAAUUCCUGGUGUAGCGGUGAAAUGCGCAGAUAUCAGGAAGAACACCCGUGGCGAAGGCGGCUCUCUGGGACGGUACUGACGCUGAGACGCGAAAGCGUGGGGAGCGAACAGG